UACGUAGGGGGCGAGCGUUGUCCGGAAUUACUGGGCGUAAAGGGUGCGUAGGCGGCCUGAUAAGUCAGAUGUGAAAUACCAGGGCUCAACCCUGGGGGUGCAUUUGAAACUGUUGGGCUUGAGUGCAGGAGAGGAAAGUGGAAUUCCUAGUGUAGCGGUGAAAUGCGUAGAGAUUAGGAGGAACACCAGUGGCGAAGGCGACUUUCUGGACUGUAACUGACGCUGAUGCGCGAAAGCGUGGGGAGCGAACAGGAUUAGAUACCCCUGUA
rnacentral:rRNA from 1 species